GGAAAAAGAUACAGAAUGAUAAAACCAUAAAUAAGAAAAGAUGGUGAAGUAAAAAAAGAAGUGAAAGUAAUGGUUCCUUGUACUUUCUAUUUGUUUUGAUUAAACUCUGGAUGUCCCAAGCUUCCUUUCAAACAAGCGCUGCAGCAAGUAAACUUGGAGGACACUGGCCCCUACCAAUGCUGCUGAUUCAAACAUUGCCUUGUGGAUUGCUCUUUUGCUCAUUCCAUCAUUCACUAUUGCCUGGCGAUCAGUCUGAGCCUCUAACCAAUGCUGUUCAAACUGAAUAUUGUAAAGAGCUUCCUCCAACUUAGAUAUUU
rnacentral:misc_RNA from 1 species